GAUGAACGCUGACAGAAUGCUUAACACAUGCCAGUCCACUUGAAUUUGGGUUUUUAACUUAGGUUUGGGUGGCGGACGGGUGAGUAACGCGUAAAGAACUUGCCUCACAGCUAGGGACAACAUUUGGAAACGAAUGCUAAUACCUAAUAUUAUGAUAAUAGGGCAUCCUAUAAUUAUGAAAGCUAUAAGCGCUGUGAGAGAGCUUUGCGUCCCAUUAGCUAGUUGGAGAGGUAACGGCUCACCAAGGCGAUGAUGGGUAGCCGGCCUGAGAGGGUGAUCGGCCACAAGGGGACUGAGAAACGGCCAUUACUCAUACGGGAGGCAGCAGUGGGGAAUAUUGGACAAUGGACCGAGAGUCUGAUCCAGCAAUUCUGUGUGCAAGAUGAAGUUUUUCGGAAUGUAAAGUGCUUUCAGUUGGGAAGAAACAAAUGACGGUACCAACAGAAGAAGUGACGGCUAAAUACGUG
rnacentral:rRNA from 1 species